GGGAUAUUUCAGCUUCAUUAUAGUGUUCCUUAGGUUCUAGAUGCAUCAAUACAUGCUUCAUAAUUUUGGGGGACAAUCAGUUCUUCAUAGAAAAAGAAGAUCUCCUAAAUUAGUAGAGAGUUCAGCUUAUCUUUGAUAUCAUUUCGUGCCAUCUUCAGAACUACUAAGAGUUGCAGAAGGCCAAAUUCAGUAAAUUAGAGUUGCAGAAGGAAAAUUUCAGCACAUAAAUUGUGAGAAGGUAUUUUUAGCCUUUCCCAUUAUAUUUUCCUUCUUCUCACAGUAUGGUAGAUUUAACAUCAAUAGUUUUAUAUAAAUGUCUGGGUAGAUAUUGAGAAUUUUUAUAUGCGGGCUUAUUACUAUAAAAUAUAGGGAUUAAUCAUAUGGAAUAAUUUCAAUCUAUGAAUAAGAAUUAUACAUAUGCGGUGUGAUAUUUCACUGAUUUUUUACUUUUUUCUUAUUAAUUGUAUUAUGAGUGAAUCUGAUCUGCGUGCCUAAAGUGAUUGGGCUUCCACAGGACCUAUUUUUAGUUGUUUUAGUUUAGCUCAUUCUCUAUUUUUAGUUGUUUUAUUUCAGCUCAUUCUCACUCAACUUGCCUUGUUAUCUCCACUCUGUCUACGUCUAACAUUCAGGAAGUUGUAAUUCAUGUUGUACACUCCUACUUUGUUGAAUGAAGUUGGCGCCAUGGGCACCUUUCCCCGUUAAAAAAACACAAUUUUCAUCUAAUUACAUGAGUUGUUUUCACCGAAAAGUAUUGCACAUGCAUGCUUCAUUGAUAUUUCAAGUGUACAGUAUGCUGCUUUUGAAUGAAUAUAUUGCUUCUUAACAUGAUUUCUAUUGCACUACAAUGUUGUAGGUAUUGCUAUUCUUUAGAUUACUCACCUAGCAAAGAGGAAGAGACAUGCUUCGGUGGAUCGAUUUGUAUAGAUUGGCUCGUGAUGAUAUGCCUGUUAGGACCAGCAGCGAUGGUUUGAUUCAGAUUUAAAUUUCACUACCACUACAUCACAGGGAUAAACCCAGCUCAAGGAUCUUCUCACCUCUAAUAAGAAGAGAACAAGAGCUUCAUAUUCUGCAUCCAAUACCCACUAUCACUACAUGUUGUAGAUCACUUAUGUAUGUAUCAACUAGAUGUACCCUUUACCUUAUAN
rnacentral:lncRNA from 1 species